ensembl:lncRNA
GAUGCCACAUCUGGUCCAGCUGAUGGAAGGUCUUGAAGUUCUCUGACUGGCCUCGACUGAAGAUGGUCGUCUCACUGGAUUUAAGAACGUUUGUGAUGCUGAAGCAGUGACCAGUUUUUCUGUUUCUUCUCUGGAGAUGCACAAUGAGGGACGUCUGCAGCGACUGAGAAAGAGUCUCACCACAUCCUGACAUGAGGAAAAAGACUUUAUUGAAGACUACAAUGAGAAAAACUAUCAGACAGCAGACGGCUGCAUUCAAGGCUACAGGAGGAGUCCUACGAGGACGAGCCGGUCCACCUGAUGGCGGCCAGUCGCUGCGGUUCAAAGCCAACACCGACUACAUGGACUUCUACUGGACCACACGGAGGACUUCAAACCGGACCAACAAGUUCACCGACUCCCCGACUCGUGGGUCUGAGGACGCCGCCGAGCCUCGGCCCAGCCGGCCUCCUGUCUGUGGGUGUUUGAGUGCUGAGAGGUUUGUGGAUGCAUGUGAACGUUCUGUGUUGAAACAGCAGCUUUGGACUCAGUAACGCCGGGAAAAACCAAGAGCUCCUUUAUUUGUGACUUCCACUAAAAAAAACUGAUGAAAAUAAGUUUGCCAGGGUUCUGACUGAUAACAGAUUAUUAAAUAAUGAAAAUAACAGUUUAAAUAUUCUUUUAAACAAUCCUUUUAGGUCUACAUUUCCUUUACACUGAC